UUCUCUGCAAGUAAAUGGCUGCCAUGUUUCCUCGGCUACACAAGGACCAUUCUCAUCGGCUGUGAAAUUCUUAGAAGCAAUCCGGAAUGUGAGAGGUGCUAUACAAAUGGAAGAUCGUCAUUCUUCCCUGGGCUGCACAGUGGCGCAGCGGUGGAGUUGCUGCCUUACAGCGCCAGAGACCCUGGUUCGAUCCUGACUACUGCUGCUGUCUGUAUGAAGUUUCAACAUUCAACCAGUGACCUGCAUCGGUAGUCUCUAGAUGCUCCGGUUUCCGCCCACUUUCCAAAGUCUGUUCAGGGACAGCUUCUUCACAGCUGUUAUAAGGCAACUAAACCAUCCUACCAAUAACUGGAAAGCAUUCCUGAACUACCAUCUACCUUACUGGAGACUGGAGACAAUCAGAUUAUCUUUGAUCAGACGUUACUGGCUUUAUCUUGCACUAAAUAUUAUUGACAUUAUUCCCUUUAUCAUGCAUCUGUGGAUGGCCGAUUGUAAUCAUGUAUUGUCUUUCCGCUGACCAGUUAGGAUGCAAAAAAAAGUUUUUCACUGUACCUUGGUGCUUGUGACAAUAAAUUCAACUCAAAUGACCUUUUCCAUUACUGAUAGUUAGGAAUGGGUUAGUGGAUGUGGCAUGAAGCCAUCUUAUACUAUCACAUAUAUUAUUGGUUUACAACAUUAGGGCUUACAAGGUCAUGGUAUCAUGUUGGCUUAGAUGAAGCAAUAGUGAAGGAACAAAAAACAGUGGAUGUGAAUAUGAGUCCUUUUCUAAUUGAUAGCCAUUGAUUAACGAAAGUGCAGUAAAAGAUCACAUUAUUGGGUUCAGUUGAUUUAAGUAUCAAAGAGGGCAGCACAGUGGCAUGGCAGGUAGAGUUGCUGCCUCUCAGCGCCAGAGACCAACGUUUGAUCCUGACCUGAAGUGCUGUCCUUGCGGCAUUUGCACGUUCUCCCUGUGACCACAUGGGUUUUCUACAGGCGCUCUGGUUUCCUCCCUAAGACAUGCGGGUUUGUAGAUUAAUCGGCCUCUGGAAAUUGCCCCUAGUGUGAAGGGUGCGCAUGAGAAAGUGGAAUAACAUAGAACUGGUGUGUUUGAUGAUCGGAGUGGACUCAGUGGGCCGAAGGGCCUGUUUCCAUGCUAUAUCUCCGAACUAAACUAACCUAAACUAAACUAAUGCAGCAGGCUGCCUUACUGUAGAACUUAAUGAAAACUAUUAAAGAUAAAAUUCCACCUCUAAAGCUCUGGUGAAUAAUCAGAUGAAGAAUAACAUCAAGUU